rnacentral:ncRNA from 1 species
GCAGAGUAAGGGUGUGCGCGUAAAGUGCCGGCUUGACGGGGAGUUGCAGGCCGGACGAAAAGCGAUGCUUGCGGUGCACACUCUGCAUCCCGCUGC